UUUAUGAUAUUAUCAGCAAGUAUAUACUUAGCAUCUUCAAGUCUCUGUGAACUACAUAACAAUUGAAAAACCUCUACAUGGGACAGAUUUUCAGCAUCUCCUUCCAUCGUUUCAGAUGCACUAUUCAAGAUAUCCAGUGGACUUUAUCACUAUGUUUGAACUGUUGUCAUACUUUACAGCACAUAGAGAUACCUGAAUUUAAUCUUUACAGAUAUAUCAGAAGAAAAACACCUCCAUGUUGGGUCCUCCUCGUCCAGUGAUAAAGACGCAACUACA